rnacentral:rRNA from 4 species
UCUGGCGGCAGUAGCGCGGUGGUCCCACCUGACCCCAUGCCGAACUCAGAAGUGAAACGCCGUAGCGCCGAUGGUAGUGUGGGG